rnacentral:lncRNA from 1 species
UUGCAGUUCAACACGAGCAGCAAAGAGCCCAGAGCGUUGAAAUGUCCUACGAUGCCAAACCUGGAGAUGAACAUAAAGUUAGGAGAGCGGAUGGGAAGUUAGCUUCUUUGUAUUAGCAACAAAACAACAGCUUCACUCCUGGAGGAUAAAAUACUGGAGGGAGAUGAUGUAAGUAUUCCAGAGAACCUGGUUGCGGUAUGCUACUUCCAACUGUUCAGCAACAUCUUCUCGUACUGGC